ACAUGCCUAUAGAAUAGCGUUAAUGCACCAGAUCCCAUUAGAAAUCCACAGUUAAGCGGGCUCAGGCUAGAGUAGUACGGGGGUGGGUGACCACCCAGGAAGUCCUAGUGUUUUACAUGCC
rnacentral:rRNA from 1 species